rnacentral:lncRNA from 10 species
GAAAUCAAAUCCCCAGCCUCAGCCUGUUAAGCUCAGGCCUUUCAAGCAGGGCCACUGAGUGGUAGCUUCGAAAUGAGUCACUGUGGUGGGUGGUCAUCGUGCCCCUCACAGGGACUUGACCGUCAUCCUGCAGCAGAGGCCAGUUCAGGGAGCCCCACACCUCACCAAGACACUAGCCAUUGCCUGCGUGUCCUGGAAGGUGAGAUGUAGUCCUCAGGUGAGGUGACCCAAAGCAGAUGGGGUGAGGGGCCGAUGAGCAGCCGGGCCCAGCGGGGCUUCCUGGAUAUCCUGCUCCCAAGGCCAAGCAGCAGAGAGAGGUUCAAGUGAGGCCACUUUGCUUUGGGUCCAGCUACACCCAGAGCCUCAGCCUAGAAAGCUGUCCUCCAGCAGGCUGGGGGUGUUCUAAUAUGUGUCCGUUUGCAUUUCCGGUGUGUGUGUGUGUGUGUGUGUGUGUGUGUGUGUGUGUGUGUGUGUGUACUGUAUCUUCUUAGGGACUUGAGUGUAGUCACGUGACUUUGCGCCUUGCAGCGCCUCCGCCGUACUCGUGUGUGUAUGUGUCUGUGUGUUUCCGUGCUACCCAAGCGUCUGUUUCUCUCCGUGUGCCUGGGAGAUCAGGUCUCAGGCAUGGAGCUGCAUGCCUUUGCAUCUGCUGCUCCCCAGAGUCUCUGCUUGCAUGUGAGGGCUGGUGGUAUGAGGCAGACAGCAGAGAUUGUGUGUGAUUGUGUUGAACCGCCAAGAGAAGGCACCUCUGAACUCUGUCCCCACACCCAUGGGUGAAAACCAGACACCUCUGAGACCACAGCACAGCCCCAUGGCCCCACCUGCUGGGAGCCCUUCAGUAUCUAGGCUGUGUCUGACUCCUCAGUGUCCACACUGAGCCUGGAUCACAGCAUGGGCAAAUAAAAGUGACUGGAUGGUUGCAUGGUUUCUUCCCUUGGACAUUUUUUUCCAUUUUUCUUUUACUUGGGUGUCUGGAGGAGUGGGCAUGUGAAGGGGCCAUGGAGUGAAUGGAUGGAGGGAUGGAUGAAUGUGUGAGUAGGUAGGUAGGUGAAUGGGUAGAUGUGUGGAUGGAUAAGUAGGUGGGUGGGUGAAUGGAUAAAUGGAUGGAUGGGUAGAUGGAUGGAUGAAGGGAUAAACAGAUGGGUGGAUGGAUUG